rnacentral:rRNA from 1 species
CUAGCCAUAAACCUAGAUAGUUACAUAACAAAACUAUUCGCCAGAGAACUACUAGCAAUAGCUUAAAACUCAAAGGACUUGGCGGUGCUUUAUACCCC